rnacentral:misc_RNA from 1 species
GAUGAAGAACGUAGCGAAAUGCGAUACUUGGUGUGAAUUGCAGAAUCCCGUGAACCAUCGAGUCUUUGAACGCAAGUUGCGCCCGAAGCCAUUAGGCCGAGGGCACGCCUGCCUGGGCGUCACACGUCGUUGCCCCCCCAUCUACUCCUUCGGGAUUGCGGGGGGCGGAUGAUGGCCUCCCGUGCGCCUCGUCGCGCGGUUGGCAUAAAUACCAAGUCCUCGGCGACGCACGCCACGACAAUCGGUGGUUGCGAAACCUCGGUUGCCCGUCGUGUGCGGUCGUCGCGCAUCGAGGGCUCGAAAAAAUUGCCGGGCUCCGGCUCGGUUUUCAACGCGACCCCAGGUCAGGCGGGGUUACCCGCUGAAUUUAAGCAUAUCAAUAAGCGGAGGA